rnacentral:rRNA from 1 species
AGAGUUUGAUCAUGGCUCAGGAUGAACGCUAGCUACAGGCUUAACACAUGCAAGUCGAGGGGCAGCAUGUUGGUUGCUUGCAACCAACGAUGGCGACCGGCGCACGGGUGAGUAACGCGUAUCCAACCUACCCUUGUCCAUCGGAUAACCCGUCGAAAGGCGGCCUAACACGAUAUGCGGUUCACGGCAGGCAUCUAAGGUGAACGAAAUGUGAAGGAGAAGGAUGGGGAUGCGUCUGAUUAGCUUGUUGGCGGGGUAACGGCCACCAAGGCGACGAUCAGUAGGGGUUCUGAGAGGAAGGUCCCCCANAUUGGAACUGAGACACGGUCCAAACUCCUACGGGAGGCA